CAAAGUAUAGCUUAUUUAAAGCACUUGGCUUACACCCAAAAGAUAUUAUUAUUAAUAAUUACUUUGA
rnacentral:tRNA from 1 species